GUAAGACUGGGAUAACUCCGGGAAACCGGGGCUAAUACCGGAUGGUUGUUUGAACCGCAUGGUUCAAACAUAAAAGGUGGCUUCGGCUACCACUUACAGAUGGACCCGCGGCGCAUUAGCUAGUUGGUGAGGUAACGGCUCACCAAGGCAACGAUGCGUAGCCGACCUGAGAGGGUGAUCGGCCACACUGGGACUGAGACACGGCCCAGACUCCUACGGGAGGCAGCAGUAGGGAAUCUUCCGCAAUGGACGAAAGUCUGACGGAGCAACGCCGCGUGAGUGAUGAAGGUUUUCGGAUCGUAAAGCUCUGUUGUUAGGGAAGAACAAGUACCGUUCGAAUAGGGCGGUACCUUGACGGUACCUAACCAGAAAGCCACGGCUAACUACGUGCCAGCAGCCGCGGUAAUACGUAGGUGGCAAGCGUUGUCCGGAAUUAUUGGGCGUAAAGGGCUCGCAGGCGGUUUCUUAAGUCUGAUGUGAAAGCCCCCGGCUCAACCGGGGAGGGUCAUUGGAAACUGGGGAACUUGAGUGCAGAAGAGGAGAGUGGAAUUCCACGUGUAGCGGUGAAAUGCGUAGAGAUGUGGAGGAACACCAGUGGCGAAGGCGACUCUCUGGUCUGUAACUGACGCUGAGGAGCGAAAGCGUGGGGAGCGAACAGGAUUAGAUACCCUGGUAGUCCACGCCGUACACGAUGAGUGCUAAGUGUUAGGGGGUUUCCGCCCCUUAGUGCUGCAGCUAACGCAUUAAGCACUCCGCCUGGGGAGUACGGUCGCAAGACUGAAACUCAAAGGAAUUGACGGGGGCCCGCACAAGCGGUGGAGCAUGUGGUUUAAUUCGAAGCAACGCGAAGAACCUUACCAGGUCUUGACAUCCUCUGACAAUCCUAGAGAUAGGACGUCCCCUUCGGGGGCAGAGUGACAGGUGGUGCAUGGUUGUCGUCAGCUCGUGUCGUGAGAUGUUGGGUUAAGUCCCGCAACGAGCGCAACCCUUGAUCUUAGUUGCCAGCAUUCAGUUGGGCACUCUAAGGUGACUGCCGGUGACAAACCGGAGGAAGGUGGGGAUGACGUCAAAUCAUCAUGCCCCUUAUGACCUGGGCUACACACGUGCUACAAUGGACAGAACAAAGGGCAGCGAAACCGCGAGGUUAAGCCAAUCCCACAAAUCUGUUCUCAGUUCGGAUCGCAGUCUGCAACUCGACUGCGUGAAGCUGGAAUCGC
rnacentral:rRNA from 1 species